rnacentral:rRNA from 1 species
UGGGGAAUAUUGCACAAUGGGCGAAAGCCUGAUGCAGCAACGCCGCGUGGGUGAUGAAGGUCUUCGGAUUGUAAAGCUCUGUCUUUUGGGACGAUAAUGACGGUACCAAAGGAGGAAGCCACGGCUAACUACGUGCCAGCAGCCGCGGUAAUACGUAGGUGGCGAGCGUUGUCCGGAUUUACUGGGCGUAAAGGGUGCGUAGGCGGAUGUUUAAGUGAGAUGUGAAAUACCCGGGCUUAACUUGGGUGCUGCAUUUCAAACUGGAUAUCUAGAGUGCAGGAGAGGAGAAUGGAAUUCCUAGUGUAGCGGUGAAAUGCGUAGAGAUUAGGAAGAACACCAGUGGCGAAGGCGAUUCUCUGGACUGUAACUGACGCUGAGGCACGAAAGCGUGGGUAGCAAACAGGAUUAGAUACCCUGGUAGUCCACGCCGUAAACGAUGAGUACUAGGUGUAGGAGGUAUCGACCCCUUCUGUGCCGCAGUAAACACA